rnacentral:rRNA from 1 species
UAAGGAAUAUUGGUCAAUGGAGGCAACUCUGAACCAGCCAUGCCGCGUGCAGGAAGAAGGCCCUAUGGGUCGUAAACUGCUUUUGAACAAGAGAAAACCCCGGUACGUGUACUGGGUUGAUAGUAUUGUUAGAAUAAGCAUCGGCUAACUUCGUGCCAGCAGCCGCGGUAAGACGAAGGAUGCAAGCGUUAUCCGGAUUCAUUGGGUUUAAAGGGUGCGUAGGCGGACUGAUAAGUCAGUGGUGAAAUCUCUCGGCUUAACCGAGAAACUGCCAUUGAUACUGUUAGUCUAGAGUACAGAUGAUGUGGGCGGAAUAUGACAUGUAGUGGUGAAAUACUUAGAUAUGUCAUAGAACACCGAUUGCGAAGGCAGCUCACAAAACUGUAACUGACGCUGAGGCACGAAAGUGCGGGGAUCAAACGGGAUUAGAUACCCGCGUAGUCCCUGAGCGGGCUGGCAAGGCGCAU